rnacentral:rRNA from 1 species
CCUACGGGAGGCAGCAGUGAGGAAUAUUGGGCAAUGGACGAGAGUCUGAACCAGCCAAGUAGCGUGAAGGAUGACUGCCCUAUGGGUUGUAAACUUCUUUUAUAUGGGAAUAAAACGUUCCACGUGUGGGAUUUUGUAUGUACCAUAUGAAUAAGGAUCGGCUAACUCCGUGCCAGCAGCCGCGGUAAUACGGAGGAUCCGAGCGUUAUCCGGAUUUAUUGGGUUUAAAGGGAGCGUAGGUGGAUUGUUAAGUCAGUUGUGAAAGUUUGCGGCUCAACCGUAAAAUUGCAGUUGAAACUGGCAGUCUUGAGUACAGUAGAGGUGGGCGGAAUUCGUGGUGUAGCGGUGAAAUGCUUAGAUAUCACGAAGAACUCCGAUUGCGAAGGCAGUUCACUGGACUGCAACUGACACUGAGGCUCGAAAGUGUGGGUAUCAAACAGGAUUAGAUACCCGAGUAGUC